rnacentral:ncRNA from 2 species
UGAUGAGGUAGAGGCGCGAAAAAGAAGAGUAGGUAGUGUGAGGAUGACAACUGAGACCACUAUACAAAAGGCUUUUUUGCCGAAGUUAUGCAAACGUGUCAGCAUUUGCAUGGCUGGGGUUACCUUGAAUAAGGGUAACACUGUCAUUAUGGAUGAUAUCUAUAAUGGAGGGCUACUGAUCGU